GCAGGGGCCCAGGUGCGUGCCGGGAAGGGGCGGUAUUCGGAGGGGGAGGUCCGAGAGCCCAGUGGGCGCUACUGAUGCCGACGGUAGGCCUCCCGGGAAGUUUCGGUGUUCCGCUCAGUGGGAGGCCUAUAACGGAAUGGCCAGCUCUCCCUGUCCUUGGAUUAAAGCAGCAAGUCGUCCUGCGGCGCUCGCUGCCCUUCGGCUGAGGCCGGACACUGGCACAAGGGUGCCCUCGGUCUGAGCCGUGGCCCCCAUCGACGGCUCCUGCCCGCGCGGACCCCUCGGCCGCCCGGCGCCCCGCUGCUCGGACCGGGCGUCCGCUCACCUGCCCUGCCUGGAGAGUAGGGGUGAAGGGAGGCGUCUGCGAGACCGACAUUCCCCCCGUGCCCGGCCGCCACCGCAACGGGGGUACACGCCCGUCUCCCCUGAGACCGGGAGCCACGCGUGCCAUGACCACGGGUGGACUUGCUUGACUUUAUUUCGCCCCAGGCGCCCUUUGAGCGUCAGGAUAGCCACCUGGACUGCCGCGGGCCAGAGCAGGCUUAAAAAAUGGGUCCCCGACUUCAGACAUCGAUCAUCCUCCUGAUCCACACUCCUGGAGGCAGAAGAACGGCCAAACCUCUGAUCCUGAGACUUCAGUUGCCCUCCUCCCGCUGACUCGACCCAACCAGACAGCCAGCCACCCAAAGACGGAUCCGCCGCUGCCCGCAGAGGAUGCCACUCUUCCCCGGGGACCCCAUUAAGUCUGAGCCCACGGCACCAGGAGCCUUGUGAGUAAUAAAGUGCUGUGUGAUUUGCAAUUGCA